CCACCUGAUCCCAUCCCGAACUCAGUAGUGAAACGAUGUAUCGCCGAUGGUAGUGUGGGGUUUCCCCAUGUGAGAGUAGGUCAUCGUCAAGA
rnacentral:rRNA from 1 species